rnacentral:lncRNA from 1 species
AAAACUAAUUGUUAGCUAUAACUAGUUUUAAUCUAAAACUAGAGAAUCCUUUUUGUUUGUUUGUUUGUUUCUGAGACGGAGUCUCUCUCUGUUGCCAGGCUGGAGUGCAGUGGUGCGAUCUCGGCUCACGACAAUCUCCACCUCCCAGGUUCAAGCGAUUCUCCUGCCUCAGCCUCCCAAGUAACUGGGAUUACAGGCACGUGCCACCACACCCAGUUAAUUUUUUUUUUUUUGUAUUUUUAGUAGAGACGGGGUUUCACCAAGUUGGCUGGGAUGGUGUCGAUCUCCUGACCUCGUGAUCCUCCCUCUUUGGCUUCCCAAGGUGCUGGGAUUACAGGCAUGAGCCACCGUGCCUGGCUGGUAAUCAUAUUUUUUGAGCUCGUUCUGCUUUCUGUUUUCUCUGAAAGAGCCGUGAAUGAUGAGACGACAAAAUAUUGGAUUAUUUGUGCUCUUGAAACAGAUGCCACCUGAGUUGUGACAGACCACCAGCAGAGGAUGUAACUCACAUCAAAAAUUAAGGAUUAUCUGGAAUGAUCAAAG